rnacentral:rRNA from 1 species
UACGUAGGGUGCGAGCGUUAAUCGGAAUUACUGGGCGUAAAGCGUGCGCAGGCGGUUUUGCAAGCCGGAUGUGAAAUCCCCGGGCUUAACCUAGGAAUUGCGCUUGAGACUGGAUAGCUUGGAGUGCGGCAGAGGGAGGUGGAAUUCCACGUGUAGCAGUGAAAUGCGUAGAGAUGUGGAGGAACACCGAUGGCGAAGGCAGCCUCCUGGGCCAGCACUGACGCUCAUGCACGAAAGCGUGGGGAGCAAACAGG